UACGGAGGAUGCAAGCGUUGUCCGGAAUUAUUGGGCGUAAAGCGUCCGCAGGUGGCACUUCAAGUCUGCUGUCAAAGACCGGGGCUUAACCCUGGAAAGGCAGUGGAAACUGAAGCGCUAGAGUGUGGCAGGGGUAGAGGGAAUUCCCGGUGUAGCGGUGAAAUGCGUAGAGAUCGGGAAGAACAUCGGUGGCGAAAGCGCUCUACUGGGCCAUAACUGACACUCAGGGACGAAAGCUAGGGGAGCGAAUGGG
rnacentral:rRNA from 1 species